GGGCGAUUAGCUCAGUUGGUAGAGCAGCUGACUCUUAAUCAGCGGGUCCACAGUUCGAGCCUGUGAUCGCCCA
rnacentral:tRNA from 1 species